ACGAUUAAAAGGGCUAUAUUAUUUCAGUAAUAAUCCAAUGGCGGGAAACAAUGUGUGUCAUCAAGUGAUGAUACUACUGUAGCCAAAGAUUCAAAGCAGCAAUUCAUGACAAAAUCUUUGCCGGCACUUGAACCUAUUAGAGUGCACAUCCAAACACCCCUUAAGCUUCCCAAACACUUUGAUACCUUUGUAGGAAAAUGUCGGCCCUUGGUGCAAGUGUAUCAAAUGAGAAGCUAUUGUGGGUCCUGGUAUCGACAAAGAUGUAGCUCAUGAGUCCGUUGUUGGAUUAAUACCUGCCACUUUAGUUCCUAGGGAGAUCCUGCUGAUUAAAAAGAAGAACCCUGUGUUUAAGAAUUAUAAUGCUGGAAAUCCUACACCUGUUUUGUACAUAAAAAUAACGACUGAAAUUGCACAUCGUGCUCUGGUAUGGUUCUUAAUAUUAUUAUAUAUAUAAUUUGACA